GACGAACGCUAGCGGCAGGCCUAAUACAUGCAAGUCGAACGGUGUCUUCGGACAUAGUGGCGCACGGGUGCGUAACACGUAUGCAACCUACCUUACAUUGGGGGAUAGCCUUUCGAAAGGGAGAUUAAUACCGCAUAAGACAGUAGCUGGGCAUCCAGCAGCUGUUAAAGAUUUAUCGAUGUAAGCUGGGCAUGCGUCCAAUUAGCUAGUUGGUGAGGUAACGGCUCACCAAGGCACUGAUUGGUAGGGGAACUGAGAGGUCAAUCCCCCACACUGGCACUGAGAUACGGGCCAGACUCCGACGGGAGGCAGCAGUAGGGAAUAUUGGGCAAUGGACGCAAGUCUGAACCAGCCAUGCCGCGUGAAGGAUUAAGGUCCUCUGGAUUGUAAACUUCUUUUAUAUGGGACGAAAAAAGGUCUUUCUAGAUCACUUGACGGUACCAUAUGAAUAAGCACCGGCUAACUCCGUGCCAGCCGCCGCCGUAACAC
rnacentral:rRNA from 1 species